UGCGUAGGCGGUUUUCUAAGUCACGUGUGAAAUCUUACGGCUCAACCGUAAAACUGCGCGUGAUACUGGAUAACUUGAGUGAGGUAGGGGUGUGUGGAACUUCCGGUGGAGCGGUGAAAUGUGUAGAGAUCGGAAGGAACGCCAGCAGCGAAAGCGGCACACUGGGCCUUUUCUGACGCUGAGGCACGAAAGCUAGGGGAGUGAACGGGAUUAGAUACCCCGGUAAUCCUAGCCGUAAACACUGAACACUGGAGGACGGGGGUUUCGGCCUUCGUUCUCGUAGCGAAAGCGUUAAGUGUUCCGCCUGGGGAGUAUGGUCGCAAGGCUGAA
rnacentral:rRNA from 1 species